AGUGAACGCUGGCGGCAGGCCUAACACAUGCAAGUCGAACGGCAGCACAGUAAGCGCUUGCUCUUACGGGUGGCGAGUGGCGGACGGGUGAGGAAUACAUCGGCAUCUACUUUUUCGUGGGGGAUAACGUCGGGAAACUUACGCUAAUACCGCAUACGACCUACGGGUGAAAGCAGGAGAUCUUCGGACCUUGCGCGAUUCAAUGAGCCGAUGUCGGAUUAGCUAGUUGGUGGGGUACAGGCCCACCAAGGCGACGAUCCGUAGCUGGUCUGAGAGGAUGAUCAGCCACACUGGAACUGAGACACGGUCCAGACUCCUACGGGAGGCAGCAGUGGGGAAUAUUGGACAAUGGGCGCAAGCCUGAUCCAGCCAUGCCGCGUGCGGGAAGAAGGCCUUCGGGUUGUAAAGCGCUUUUGUUCGGGAAGAAAAGCAGCAGGUUAAUACCCCGCGGUUCUGACGGUACCCAAAGAAUAAGCACCGGCUAACUUCGUG
rnacentral:rRNA from 1 species